AAGUCGUAACAAGGUUUCCGUAGGUGAACCUGCGGAAGGAUCAUUAACACUUUUAUCCACGUGUCUAAACAUCCGUUUAGACAUAAACCCCCUUAUAGCGAACUAGGUCAUUCCGUCAUUUUUUCUCUUUUUCUUUUAUUCACUUUUAAACCCAAUUGAACUUUCUAGACUGAAACUUUGUUGUAGGUGAAAGCUUACAUCGAAAAAAUAAAAUUCUAAACAACUCUUAACAACGGAUAUCUUGGUUCUC
rnacentral:misc_RNA from 1 species